ensembl:lncRNA
AUGAGUUCCAGUGCUUUAACAAUAAAAAUUCUGUUUGGUGCUCUAAAAAUUCUAUUUGUUAGGUUUGGUAGGCAUAAGAUCUAUCUAAGAUCUAGGGCAAUGAGUCCCCAUCUUACUGGAACUUACUGGAUAUGUUUGUCUUGGUGAUAGUCCUUGAGAGGAAGAAUGGGCAUAAACUUCUCAAACUGAGUGCAUCAAAAUCACCUGGAGAGCCUGUGAAACGCAGGUUUCAGGGCUUCAUCCCCAGAGUUCCGAUUCAGUGGGCCUGACGAUUUGCGUUUCUAGGAAGUUCCAGGUGAUGCUGAUGCAAUUGGUUCCAGCACCACCCUUUAAGAAUCAGUGCUUUAAAGCAUGGAUGUGGACUUGGACCCUGAAGGCUGAAGGGAUGUCUGGACUCAAUAGCUUCUUGACGUCCCGGUCCUGUGAUGGCCACCCACGGCAGUGCAAGCGGAUGGAAGACGCUUGGGCCCCUGGCACUAUGAAGCAUCUUCCCUGGAUGUUUAUGCUGUUCUCUACCAGCGCUCUGGCCUGACGUUCAGGGCCCUUCGUUCUCUGACUCCACUGUAUCAUCCACUGCCACCUUCUCCUGUGACGCGAGGUGACCUUGCUCUCAUCACAUUGCUCUCCUUGUUGCCCUAAGAAUGCACACACUUGUUCAUUCACCCGUGUUUAUCAUUCAUUCAUUCCUCAUCCAUUGAACGCCUACCAUUGCCAGGCCCGGACCAGGCUCUGCGAACACAAGGGCAGUUAGAACCCAAUCCCCUCCUUGAUGGGUUUCUAGUCCAGUCCAGCAGUCCCUGCCCUUGUCGUGCCAUGGCACAAAUGAUGGAGGAUUGUUCACUCCUUGUUUGGCCUGCUGGCUAUAAUCCCAGGCACACCCUCUCCUUCCUUCCCCUCUUAAGAGAGAAGACCAGAAGGCCAGUGAGUGAGAACACUAUUGUUCGAGAGAAAUUUUCUAAGUCACAGAAAAUUAUCUUUAAGAUACAUGAUCGGCAAACUUCCAUAUAAGUAGUAAAUGACAUGGGUCACGCUAAUGUGCCUCACAGGUAGGAACCUGUAAUUUAGUGGCUCAUGUGGCCCUGCUUGCCUGUACUCCCUUUUUUAUUUAAGUGAACACUGGAGCUUCGACUAGUCCUCAUUUUCCCAAAGAGAAGAAAAGCAACUCAGCGAUAAGGAAGCCCGCACCCUUUUGAGGAGAGAACUUGCCAUCCGAUCUUUCACCUUCAAGUCUUUGAGUCAAUACCAUAAAAGUAUAAAGGAGCCGGGAGUAUCAGCCUUAAGAAGGGAGUGCUGGAAAGAAAGUAACAGGAGUCACCUGUCUGAGGGGAGAGAUUUACUCCAUUGGUUCCAAGGAAAUCGUGUCAUCCAGAGGAAGCUGCAAAAGGUGGAUUCACACCGGCGUGACUCAGUCCCCAAAGCGAUGUGCUCAAAAUAGCACUGGGUGAGGAAACCCUUGUUGGCCAGGGACGGAACCCCAGCACAAAGGAGCUCAUCAGGACGAGAAAGGGGGGAACGUAACAAUGCCUGAAGAAGCCAGGGGUAGAGUGACUUCAGUCACCGCUGGAUUACCCUGCCCCCCCCCCCCCACCUGCUCUUGCGGUGGAGAAGUGAGCCGCUGGUGUCCCAGUUAUAGCCAUAGCUCAGCAUUAGCCACCCCUUGGAUGAGAGCAGUGUCAUUCACAGUGGCUGUAGCACACCCCAGGGAUUGACUUUCACGGACCCCAACUCUGUGACCUGGGAGAAUGGCGCUGAUUCCUGAGAAGGAGUCACAGGCUGCCCCUAAAAUGGGGGUUGGGGAGUACAAGGCAGGAGCUCUGGGCCCAAACCUCGUAGCCUGAGAGUGAGGCGCCCUCCCCUCCAGAGACAAUCAGCCUGCCUAACUGAAGGGGGAACGGGUGACAGGUUACAAGAGCAGACGCUCUCUGUGUCUCCAAGCCAGGUCAGAAUAAAUGGCGCCCUUCACUUGUUUUCCCUGUCCCACACGGGGGCCAUGCAGAAGGCUUCACCAACGCUUCUUGAAGUUCCCUCUUAUCCUACCCACUUCCACCCUCUCACAUACCACAGCCUCCCUCAACACCGGGCUCCCCAUGUAAAGACUCCCCCUCCUCCUCUCCUGCCUUUCCACCUGAUUCUCUUACACAAAACCCGGAGAACCAGUCUGAUGGGUAGGACUGUGGAGGGCACAGGGCAAGUCUGUGUGUGUGAGGUGGGGGUGGGGGAGCUGAGAACACUGGCUACUUGAUUGCUUCAUCCUAUCACAGCAGGAAAAUGCGAAUUCUCCCAAGUUGGAAGGUCUCCCUUGCAAUACCCUGAGUUCCCAGUCCUGGAGGACAGGCUGUGCUCCCAGGACAUUGGGAACUGGAGGUUUACAAACCGCCUCUGUGCCCUGCUGCCACAUCCAAGCUUUCCACAAGCCCACUGCAAACGUCUUGAAGAGGACAUCUCUCUUCUCACCUGCUCUCAGAGGUAUUGCUAAGAAUUUAAAUCUAGCUGUAUCUGCAUUAUGGUCUGGCACAUCUGGGGCUAAUCUUCAAGAGCUGGAUUUGAUAAAGACAGUCCAGUAGCAAAUAAACGACCAACCGUGACAGAGGGGAAAAAAGAGAAAAAGCAAAAACCAAACAAAAACCGAUAACAAACAAGUGAAAAGACCCAGCCAGCCUCUUGAAAUGACUGGAAGUAAAAAUCAUUUGGAAGCAGCCGCCCAGAAGGAAAACUAAAGCCCUUUUGAUCUUAUCUUCCAUUUCUGAGAUAAACAAUGCAUUCAAUACAAGUGAUUCCAAAACCAAAGUUAUAAUUUUUGGAAGACAUCCCCCAGUGUUUAAUGAGGCACUGAUCUCCUGGCCAGUUUGUCUUAGAAGGUACACCAGGAAGCUCUAUUUUAUUUCUCAAAGUUGAAAGAGCUAUGGGAGUUUUAUUGAGAUUUAUACUGUGGGUUUAGGGGCCAAGGUCUAGGAAGUGGUGCCAAGAAACAUGAAGCUGGGCUUACCAUAAGCGGGCUUGGACCGUGAGGGUUCCUCCAAGUGUCUGCGGACAGCGCUCCCCCCCAGGUCCCAGGCCUGGCAGGAGGAGUGGAAGGUUUUGGCCCAGCCCUCACACUUUGACCUCCCCUAGGGUGAGGCACCAUGGCCUGGGGUGGAGAAGCCUGGGGAGUCAGUCGGGGUUAAUUUGGGCCGAGCUGCUGGUGGUCACUUUGCACUGGGAGGGGACCCCACUGCUGUCAUUAUUUUAAGCAGUUGACAACCAGGCCCCUGCAAAUUUACUGCAGGGCUUUCAUUAGCGCCCUGGGACAGUUUUAUGAGACUUUAUGGCUCUAACUGACCCUUAUCACUUAGGGACAGACGCUGUGCCCUGGGGUUAUGGGGAUCCGGUCACUCUGCUAUCAUUUGAAUGCACCCUCUAAUCACCAAUUCAAAGAAGUGUUUGAAGCAUUUAAAUUCCUGCCAGUAAUUCAGCUGCUGCUUAACGCAGGCAAUUAUUGCAUCACUUCACACAUUCAGACAGAACACUCAGCCCUGGUGGUUAUUGCACCAGCUCUGGAGCAACCUGCUCUUCCAAUUAAACUCAUUGCCCUGGAACACGCGAGAACUGCCAAUCACGCUUGAAAGCACCCCCUCACCAGCUACUUCACAAUGAGCUGGCCACAGGAAAGGACUUCCCAAAAGUUAAUCAGCCCCACCUCAGGGCAAAAGGGUCUUUAAAUAGACUGUCCAGGGUCUGCCGGGAACAGCCCUAUUAGGUAUGUGUGUGUCCCCAGGGAAACCCUUCUCAGGUCUCGUUCCAGGAAUGGUAGUCCUGCUCCCUAGAUGCAGUUGGUUUUUGUCCUAGGGCACUAUGAAUGACGAAACUAGUGGGUUUACUGUUUUUUCCCCUUUAUCUGUUUUUGUGAAACCAGUAACACAUGCUUGUUAAAGGAAAAAUCGGAAUAUACAGUCCAGCAAAAUGAAAAGCAGAACCUACAUACGAGAGAUGAAAUCAAUGAUGAGUAGAAGUGACCUCCUGAAGAAGUUGGUAACUGAAAAGAUGUGAGAAUUAAGGGAGCAGAGACCAAACUGCAUGAGCCAGUAGAUCUCAGUAGAAGACCGAUGUCCAUGGAAUUUGGAGAAGAUCAGAAGAUAGAAUGUGGCAGUGUGGCUUCAGCAGUGAGCCGAGGGAGAAGCCCUGACUCUUCAGGACACUGAGGUGUUUGUUGGAAUGUGGCCGUAGUGGAAACGAAGGCAACAGUCUGUCUGACAAGACUUGAGGGCACUCAUCAUUAACACAUCAAGACAACCGUUCUUGCUUAGACUUGAUGCUUAUUCAACAACCUUCGGAUUGUAAACCUUCUCUCCAAAUAGACUGCUCUGUGGGGAGAAAACUCUGAGUGUUGACCAGCUCUCAUAGGCAUCCUGCCCACUGGGCCCUUGUGUUUUCUCUGAAGAGAAAUAAAUGAUGGCCCACUGUGUGUCAGACUCUGGUGAAUUAGUCCCCUCAGUCCACUCACGUGGGCAAGGUGACAACACAGUGUCUGGCCUGCUGUCUCGCUAGAUAACAGCACCAGUGCAUCCUUAUUUUAUCUGACUGUAUCCGCUAGCAGAUGAGUGAUUGGGGUU